GUUCGGGUCUGUGGUUGAAAGCCGAAGCCAGUCGCAGGCAAAACGGUCCACGUAAGCUGGGGAAACGCCCAGUGAGCACGGUGCGGUUUAGACGUAAGCCCGGCCGGACGCAAGUCCGAGAGAGCGGAGUGGGGGCCGAUAAUGGCUAUGAGCAAUGCUCCUGCCGGCGAGUGUGGGGUCAAAAACCAGGUCAGCCAA
rnacentral:ncRNA from 1 species